UACGAAGGGGGCUAGCGUUGCUCGGAAUCACUGGGCGUAAAGCGUGCGCAGGCGGUUAUAUAAGACAGUUGUGAAAUCCCCGGGCUCAACCUGGGAACUGCAUCUGUGACUGUAUAGCUAGAGUACGGUAGAGGGGGAUGGAAUUCCGCGUGUAGCAGUGAAAUGCGUAGAUAUGCGGAGGAACACCAGUGGCGAAGGCGGCUCACUGGCCCGGUACUGACGCUGAUGUGCGAAAGCGUGGGGAGCAAACAGG
rnacentral:rRNA from 1 species